rnacentral:misc_RNA from 1 species
GUGUGUCGUGUGUGGUGGUGCCCAAAACCCGAAAGCCUAACGAGGCAGGGUGAGCAACGCUCCAGGUCCAAUGGCCGCCACUGCUGCAAGAACCGUCCUCUGCUCCUCCCAAUCCCAUCUCAAACUCUUGCCCUUUCCCUUUUCUAUCUAUCUUUCUACUAAGUUUCCACCUUCCCUAAACCCAAAUAUCGUCAAGAAAAAUCCUAUCUUCUUUUCCUCUCUCCCUCCCGUUAGGUGCCUGCAGUACGCUACCCAGCAAGCUUCCACCACACAAACCCAGGAAGCAAUUCGCCGCCCCAACGUAGUCGACAUCCUUGAGGAAAGGGGCUUGCUUGAAUCCCUCACCAGCGACAGUCUCAGGUCCGCCUCUUCUACUUCUAACUCCACCCUCAAAGUUUACUGCGGUUUUGAUCCCACUGCCGAGAGCUUGCACUUGGGUAACCUUCUUGGCAUCAUCGUGCUCUCUUGGUUCCAAAGGUGCGGCCACAAAGCCGUUGCCUUGAUUGGUGGAGCCACCGCCAGGAUCGGUGACCCAUCUGGUAAGAGCCUGGAAAGGCCAGAGCUUGAUGCCGAUACUUUGGAGAAGAAUACCUUUGGGAUUUCUAAUACCCUAAUUAGAAUGUUCAAUAUGAAUAUGAAUUUGAACAACCCAAUUGUGGUUAUGAAUAAUUAUGACUGGUGGGAAGAGGUUAGGCUACUGGAUUUCUUGAAACAAGUUGGAAGAUAUGCUCGGGUGGGUACCAUGAUUGCCAAGGAGAGUGUGAAGAAGAGGCUUGAAUCUGAACAAGGAAUGAGUUAUACUGAGUUCACUUACCAGCUCUUGCAGGGCUAUGACUUCCUUUACCUUUUCAGAAAUGAGGGUGUUAAUGUUCAGAUUGGAGGAAGUGACCAGUGGGGCAAUAUAACUGCUGGGACUGAACUUAUCCGAAAAAUUCUGCAGCCAGGCGAUGGAGCUGAGGCAUAUGGUUUGACAUUUCCUCUUUUAUUGAAGAGUGAUGGCACCAAAUUUGGCAAGUCAGAGGAUGGUGCCAUUUGGCUUUCGCCAUCCUUUUUAUCUCCAUACAAGUUCUAUCAAUGCUUAUUCUCUGUACCUGAUGCCGAUGUUAUUAGGUUCCUCAAGAUACUUACUUUCUUGGACUUGGAUGUGAUUGAUGAGUUGGAGAUGGGAAUGAAGAGACCCGGCUAUUUGCCCAACACAGCUCAGCGUAGGCUUGCUGAAGAAGUGACCCGAUUUGUUCAUGGUGAAGAUGGACUUGGUGAAGCUAUUAAGGCCACUGAGGCUUUGAGACCUGGAGCUGAGACUAAGUUGGACUGGAAAACCAUUGAGGGCAUUGCUGAGGAUGUCCCAUCCUGCUCUUUGCCCUAUGAUGAGGUCCUUAAUCUCUCUCUUGUUGAUCUGUCGGUUUCUUCUGGCCUGCUUGAGAGUAAAUCAGCUGCGCGCCGUCUGUUGAAGCAAGGGGGUCUUUACUUGAACAACAGCAGAGUGGAUGGUGAAAGUAAGAGAAUUGAGCCUCAAGAUAUUGUGGAUGGAAAAGUUCUCCUUUUAUCUGCAGGCAAGAAGAACAAGGUCAUUGUGCGAAUAACUUGAUUGCUUUUGCUGCUUUUGUUGCUAAUUUUCUGCAAAUUAUUUGUCUAUUUUGUGAAUGUCUUUGCUGCAUUGUGAUUUCAUCAGACAGAAGUGACUUUAAGAGGAUAUUCCUAAGCUUGGUUGCAAAGUUUUGCACUAAUGUACCACUUCCAUGAGAAAAUAUUGAACAAUGGUUUUGCAGCUGUUGAAAUGUUAACUAAACAAAAAUUAAUCUGCUUCAUAGUCCUUAUUAUCCUCUUCUUUUUCUUCUUCUUUGUAACAACAGAAAGCUCCUUCGUGUUUCUUGGAUGGUUGGUUUUGUGUAUACCAGGUAGAUUAAGAUUGGAUAUUGGAAAGACAACUGUAGUUUAUGGGGUGCUUGGGUAUGUAGAUUAGAUUAAUAGACAUUAAAAAGCCAAGUAUUUGUAACUUAUCUGAUUUGGAUGAUUACAAAGACGUGAAUGAUGUUUGUACAUAUACAUUUUACUGUGUAGUUGCCAGACUUUUCCUUUUUAUUUGGUAUGUUCUUGAUUCUCAAAAGAAAUUGUUUCUAGUUUAUUAUGUAAUCAUCUUUAUCUUUUUCCCAACUGCUACAAUCUGAUGUUAUUUCUUCCUUGUUGAUUUAGUCAAGGGGCAUAUGCAUUCUUUGGCUUUGC